rnacentral:lncRNA from 1 species
CAUGUACAUGUAUAUACCAAUCUAAGUUAGUGUAUAUCUUGUUUCUCGUCUUACUUUACAGUAGAGCUACUUUGAUAGAUCAGGUUGACUGAUAAGCUGUCUAUAUAAAGUAAUGGGAACAAUGCAUGGAAUGAAGACAUCACCAAGUCACCGUAUGCAACAUUUAAAAAGACAUCCUGAGCUUAUCAUAUAGUCAUCACCUACCCACCAACACGGUGUGAGCUCUGGUUUCCGCGUAUUUAUAGAUUAUAGAUCGGUUACAAGUCCAACACGCAAGUUACGUAAAGGAAAGCUCUCUGACUCGCAACAAUAGACCGGAAUGACUUUACGAUCAUCCGCUGUAAAAGGGACAAAAAAAUACAGAUCCGAGAGUAAUCGCAGUUACUGACAGCUAGUUCAAAGCCAAUAAAAACUAAUACAAAAAUCAUGUAUCUAAGACAAAUAUGUCAAUCAGUGCAAAUCCACAUCCAGUGGUUUUAGUAUAAAGACGUUGUUAACAAUAAGAGAAGCAUAGGUAACAACAGAUUGUAGUACCUUGAUGUGUAAAACAAUGAUAUUUGAUAUGGUUUUAAGUUACUGAUAACAAAAUUACUAUUUAUACCAAUGAGAACAAUAUUCAAAAAAUAUUUUUAUAGUGUUUGAUUGGUAUUGAAAGGACUGCUAAGUUUGCUGCCCUGAUCAUUUUUAAUUUACAUGCAUUCAGUUUCUUUUACAUUAUUAUUGAUAAAUACUACAUUGCAGAAGAAGUGGCAAUAUAUCUUUAAGUGAAAGAUAUUGUUUGUGACCUUAGGGAAAUUUAUUUGGAUAUGCCGAUUAUGGUCUCAUUGAGAUUUACCAGACCUUCAUUCAAUUUCAGCACAUUUUUUACGUUCCAUUUAUGGACUUUAUGCUGUUCGUUCUGUGCGUCCGUUCGUUCUUCCGUUCAUCGGCCUGUUUGGCUUCAGGUUAAAGUUUUUUGGUAAAGGUAGUUUUUGAUGAAGUUGCAGUCUAAUCAAUUUGAAACACAGUACACAUAUUCCAUAUUACAAAUUGUGACUUGGAUGGAGAGUUGUCUCAUUGGCACUCAUAACACACCUUCUUAUAUCUAUAUAAUCUUUUGAUCGGUUUAAUUGGGGUCUUGAGCUGGCAUGUCAGUUACUGCUAGUAGUUUAAUUUAUGAAUUAGUUUCAUUUUGCGUAGUUUUUUUUGUUGGUACCUAUUC